GACGGGGGGGGCAAGUGUUCUUCGGAAUUACUGGGCGGAAAGGGCACGUAGGCGGUGAAUCGGGUUGAAAGUGAAAGUCGCCAAAAAGUGGCGGAAUGCUCUCGAAACCAAUUCACUUGAGUGAGACAGAGGAGAGUGGAAUUUCGUGUGUAGGGGUGAAAUCCGUAAAUAUACGAAGGAACGCCAAAAGCGAAGGCAGCUCUCUGGGUCCCUACCGACGCUGGGGUGCGAAAGCAUGGGGAGCGAACAGG
rnacentral:rRNA from 1 species